rnacentral:lncRNA from 1 species
UCUGGAGUUAUAGCGUCAGGAAGGAAAACCCGACUUAUUUUUAUAUAGUAGAAGAAGAUAUAAGAAAAACCACGCCGUUCGAAAACUUCGCAGCGUUAGCUUUAAAAUUAAUCUGUAUUUAUAUUACAGCUCGUAGCCAACAGUUUAGAAACAAGUAUCAUAGAGUGAACACAUUCAAACUAAUAUCGAGAUAAAGGCGACAAUAAAGCGUAUCCCAUCUUCGGUAUUCGACUAACAAAUCACCCGUCAGAAAGGCAUAUUGCUCCACCGGGGCUUGUAAAAUGAUUGAGUAGCACUUCUCAGCAGAACCUAUCGGUCAGACAGAGGCUUUCGAUGGAAGAGGGAACUGGUUCUCUACAAACAGUCA